CUACUCUGGCACUGCACUCAUUUGUGAUCCUGGGAUCAUAUCCUAGUUAGCGGAGUCACUCUAUGAAUUAUUUCCUGGCCGUGACCAUGACUGUGAAGGUGGAAGAACACUGAGACGAUGCAGG
rnacentral:lncRNA from 1 species